CCUCUCCUUGCCUUACCUUCAGCACCGAGGAGUUUCCGGUCCCGGUACAGAUCAGUGAGGAAGAGGCUAUUGACAAGAGUGGAUUUCCCCAGUCCAGACUCUCCUGACAGGCGAGAGAGGACAGAAGAUAAGAUCUAUAGCCAAAAGGCAACCCCACCAGAACAAGGUGUGUAGAGAGCUGCUUUUUCAUCAAAUUGGGAAGAGACCAACUGCACCAUAGCGUUUUAGAGCGAGAAGGAAGCAGAGAAAACAGCUUGUCUAGCCUUCUUAUUUGAAUGAGGCUCAGUGAGGAUAAGAGGUUGCCCAAGGUCACACAGAACAAGGCAAAUACUAGAAAACUGUUGGUCAGGUGUUCUUUGUACCAUUUCAACCCGCCUCCCCCCAACACACACAUACACACUUUUGGCCACCCAUGGCUCCUGGCUACUUUGCAAAACUGCAUGGCUGCUGGCUGCUUCUUCCUUCCUUACCUAUACCUCCUCCCCAAAUACAUACCAGCCCCACCUGAAACACCCCCUGCCUAGCCCAGCCCUUCCCCAGCUCUACCUGCCACCAUGAGGGUAAAGUCAAAGCCUUUCUUCACAGACUUUCGGUGAACUUGAUUGGGGAGGGUCGCAAAGCCCACAUACUCCUUGUCAUCCUAAUGGACAGGAAGGCAGAGUGUGUCAGAGUGAGAGGCAGGAGGGGUCCCAGGACCCAACACCUUCUCCCUCCCUCCUAGGUCUUUGCCCCAGCCCUAGAGGAAUGGUGUCAAACUCCCUUGAGGCCCCAUCUGGGGCCACCAGCAGGGCUCCUGCCCCUGCUGAUAGUCAGUUUCCAAUGCACCUGGGGGCCAACACCGCAGAACUGGUGCUGACACUAGACAGGAGAGGCCCCAGCUCAACAUGCAUGCAUGCAUAUGUGCACACCUAUACACACACAUGCACAUACAUGCACAGACACUCGGGAUCUCUCUGCUCCCUCCCUGGGUCUUCCAGCACCAGCCCACUGAAAGGCAAAGACAGGGCUGGAGGCUCUACCUCAGAGGAGUCAUAGGGAUCAAGCUUGCCCCAUGGGCUGCGGGGUCGGGCUGAGGGGCUGAGAGGGGCUGAGGCAGAGAAGUACUGCUGGCUGUCAGAGGGCUGGGGCCACGAGGGGCCUUUGAACUCCAGGUCAUCCUGGUAGAGGUCCGGGGCCUGGGGCUUUGGCUCCAGAACUUGGGGCCUGGACACCCAGGUCUUGGCCUCUGGUUGGUGGCAGCUCUCGCUUCCUGGGAAAUCCUUCACGAACUUGUUCAGUUCUGUGUCAUCCGUGGCCUCCAGGAAGCGCUUGAUCUGGGGGUUGGAGGGGAGGUGGUGGGAGGAUGGGGGGGAGUGGGUAGGUGGCAUGAAGGGAAGAAUGAAGGAGGAAGUCCAGAGAAGGUGAGAGGGAGAGAGAGGAAAGUGAUUGUGGUUAGAAGGGAAAAGAAACUGCACUAGCAGCCAAGCCAGAGGAAGUGCUCACCAUUCCUCCCUCACCUGCUCAUGUGCCUCCCCAGCCGAGAUGCCAGGAAAGACCCUGGAGUCCUGGAGCAGCCCUAGGCAGCCCCCAGUUGUUGCAGGCAGCAACUGUUCUUGGGAUCAGAGAAGCUCCAGUCCUGAUGUUCCCUCUUGACAGGGUGCCUGCUGCCCUGCCCUUCCUGGGGGGUCUGGCCAAGCCAGAGGCCAGUGAAUGCCCUAAAGGCCAGGAAGUCAGACUGAAUAAGGGGGAGCAACAGAGGCAUUAGAACUGAGACGAGGAUGCGGGCUCAGGAUCCAAGGACAGUGCAGAGAGUCAGUCAGAAUGGGACAGGGGCAGGAGGGAAGUAGGGAGGGGAGAAGGGACCUGCCAGCCCCAGGUAAAUCAAGAGCCAGCAGAGAGCCCUGUGCCUCCUGUCACUGCAGGUCAGUGAGCUCUGGGAGGGAGAUGCAGACUCUACUGGGGGUGCUCACUCUCCAGGGCUCACUGCCCGGAGCUCAGUACAGUUGAUCUGACACCUCUGUCCCUUAUUCCAGACACUGUGCCACACCAGAGCCUGAGGGUAGGCCCCAGGAGACUAGGGCAAACCCACCAGUGGAUGCUGAGUGCAGGGUAGAAGGGAGCUGGAAGGGACCCAGUGAGGGAGGAUGGGAGGACACUAGGCUGCUGACAGCCCCUACCUGUGAGGGACACAUAGGAGACAGCACCCAUCGGUUGUCUUUUGCCCCCUCUGCCUGGAGUAAGAUUCAGCUAGCCACGCAGGAAGGGAUCUGGCCCCAGUGGUGAACCACAGUGGGGUGGACAAACAAUGACUGGCUCUGUGUAGAGACCUGUUCCACCCCAUCUCCCAACCUGGAAGAGAGGCCACUUCCCCCCACUCCUGCCACCAACUCUAGACCCUAAAACUUCCUCUCUCCUUUGGGGGCCAGUCCCCUUUGUGGAGUGCCUGGCAGUGCUGGGCUCAGCUCUGCCUCACAAUACCCACAUGCCACCUCCAGACAAUGGACAAGGGCUGGCUUCAGAGGCUGACUCACUCCCUGGGGAUUGGCCAAGCCAGUGGGGGCUAUCCCGGACCACUGUGGAGACCCGGCCAGGGUGGAGGGAGAGAAGAUGGCCACAGUCUUCUGCAGGUCCCCUUUUUACAAAGGGAAGAAUUGAAGGAGGCAGACAUACACAUUGCCAGGUUUAUGCUAGAGGGAAGUGAUUUAGAGGCUACAGGGAAAAGUCCCCUAAGAACUACUUCUAGGCUGUCACCUCUCAAGUCCCCACACCUGCUUAUAGCCAUCAUCUCCAAGGCUUGCCUGGACAGAGGGGAGGAAAGAGGCCCUUUAGACUGAAACUGGAACCAGCAUGUGGGGGCUUAGUGACCAAAAGAGGGUGUCCUGAAGCAAGCCUGACCUAACAGGCUCUUCUCAGCAAAAGUAUUUAUGGGAUCCCAUGGAGCAACCGUACAUCUCAGUUUGUUUGUUGUUGCAGCAUAAUGAUUAAUUGUGCCCCUUUUGACUCUCAAAAGUGUCCCGGCUUGGACAAUUAAUUAUAUGCAACAGAGAAGAGAUGGGACUGAGGAGGGUGGGGUCCCACAGGUCCUGUUUUCUGGCAGCUAGAGUCUGGGGAAUUCCAGGAAAUCCCGCCUCUCUGCAUGACCCCACAGUGACCCAGCAGUUGGUCAGGGUGGAAGAAAGAAGACUGUGUUCCACCUGGUUUCCCCAGGAGCACUGAGCAGAGGGGCAGCAGUUAAAAGAGAAAGGAAGGCCCUGAUUGGGACCCCUACCAUCCAGUCUUCCAAAAGUCACCAGGAACCCAGCAUCAUUCUCCCUGCCAGUCCUGGCUACUUGUCAGCAGGAAGCGGCCCACAGAGGCCCUAGACAAGGCGUCAGGCACUAGGCUCCUCCUCACCUGCUGCCUGUCCUUCCCCACCCCCAGCUCCCAGGGUAGCACCUUACCCCAGGGACAGAACCUCAGGGACAGAACUACCUUGCCAUCCCAGUGAAUGGUCCAUGUCCCUCCCACACUUCAGAUACCCUGUCGGCAAGCUCUAGGUCUAAUUUUAUCCCCCAGGAAAAGUUGCUCACACACGGAAACAACCUGGUCUCAAUGCUCUUGUAAUCCAGCUUCCUGGCUUGCUCCUUUCCCUUUCUCUUUGGCCCCCCCCUCCCCCCUCCCUGUCUCUGUCAGGGGCCAAAACAGCUUGUGGAAUGUCGUUCCCCACCCCAUCCUCCUCCCUUUCCCUUGGCUCCCACCCUCCAAGGACAGCUCGGCUGCAGCAGGAUCACUCUGUCUCUCUGCAGUCCCCUCCAACUCUGAUUGGCUGUCUCAUGACGCCUGCCCUCUGCCUACCCCGGUGGGCACAGCACCAGCCUCCCGAGUCUGUCUGCAGCACAGGCUCUUGAUCCACCUGGCCUGUUAACCCCCAAGGGCACCGAGGCCUGCCAGAGGGUCAUGAGCUGUCCCCAAGGUGACCUGGCCCAUCAGUACACGGGGACAGCCACCCAGGAGACUCCACUGUCAAAGGACUCCAAUCUCUUUCACCUUAACUUUAAGCAGUGCUGAAGUAGGGUGGGAUGUCCUAUAAUCCCCUAGAAAUAUGUUCUCAUGAGAACAGCCCUGCUUUUCUUCCUAAGCGUCCCUUUGUGUUUUCCAGCAGAGAACCCCAGUCUCUUCAGACAUCUGCCCCUAGAUUUCCCUGCAGAGUCCCAGCCACAAAAGGACUCCUCCCACCCUAGGAUACCUGACCUCUGACUCAUGGGGACCCAUAUCACUUCCAUCACCCCACUGCUUCUAGAGAGUCAAUGGAAGAGCUGCUAGCACUCGUUCUCUGAGAGACCAAAGGGAGGCUGGCAUCCCAGAGGCUUCAGAGUUGCCAAUUAGGUGGGAGACAAACUGAAGGGCUUGGCUGGAAGGGUGCAGAUGGAGCACCUGACUGGGAAUCAGGAGGCCAGUGUUUCUGGUUUGUCCAGAAACCUUUGUGAUUUUGAAUAUUGUCUUAAUUUCAGGCCUCUAAUGUCCAGUUGUGAAUGGCCCUUCCUUGCCUCCCAGGAAGGCUGGGGAGAGAUAACUCAAGCUGUUUUGAAGCUGAGGAGAGAGAGUGUACAUCUCAAGUCACAGGACUGUUAUUAAUGUUGGCCUAUCAUUCUUUUCCCAUGCAAACUAAAACCCCCUGGGGAGGUUUCCAGGGGAGGCUGGGGAGCUCUCCCCACUGUACCCACUGACCUCCAUAGUGGCUGGGACACUGAUCUCCUUUCACAGAGAGACCUCUUAUAGAGAAGUCUGGCUUGACAUAAAUCAGUCAGCCUAAGAACUCGGCCUAAGAGGCCUAAAGCUGAGGACUGUGGUGAUGGUGGGGAUGUCUUUUAAUUAGAGGGUGGCUUCAGCCAAGUUGAAAGCACCAAGACCUCAGCUGAACUGAACUUAGUGUGUGGCAGAAAAGCCCCUCUUGGUCCCUGCUGGGCUUGGCAAUGGGGACAGUCAGUUCUCCCCAGGCUUCUAUCACUGGAACAAUCAGUGUGACGGUACCCAUGUGGAGGGAAGUGGGGCAGGGAUAAAGACCAGUACCACUUGGCCUCUCCCAGGAACCCCCUCUGGGGAAGGUCACAGAGUCACCAAGACUUCCUAGCCAAAGCUUGGGCCUCAGCCUGGACACAGCUUGAAAGACAAAAGCCCAAAAGGUUGGCCUUUCCAGACCUGGAAGCUUCUGAUUCCAUGGGGCCCAGGGAGUUCCCUUCUGGAGGCUGCCCACAGCCAACAUCCUGCCCCACAGGCUGGUCAUGGAUCUCCUCCUAUUGUAAACAGCCUGUGCCUCCUAAUGCAGUGGGCAAAUGUUGGGGGGCCUCCAACCUGGGAGGAGAGGCUGGCAUGGGGCCUGGAGGCAUUGACACCCAGCAUAAUGUGUUUGUGGCAGGCUCUGGCAAGGAUGGCAGAAGAGCUGGCACCCUUACAGUCAGACAUCAAAACUUCCUACCUGGGGGUAUCCAGGAGGCUGACUGGGGUUAGUAUCUCUCCUUCCAGUACAGGCGGGUGGCAGGAAUGAGUUCCCCCACCCCCACCACUGCAGAGGGACCUGGUUUGGGGUAGUGUAGGAUGCAGCAGGAGGAAGCUUCCCCAUGGGUCCUGUCUCAGAGGCAGUGAUGUAUAGAUGAUCCCAAGGGUAGGAUGGUAGGCUAGGCUUCCCUCUCUCAGGGGUCCCUGGGCAGAGGGCGCUGUGGGAAGAGCCAGGAGAUGCCCUUUGCCAGGCUGCGGGAAGGAGGGCCCAAGCGUCUCACCAUCCCUCUCCGGGAGGCAGGCAGUGUUUGUAGGCCUCCUCUGUGUGUCUUCCCAAGGAAGUUGGUGCUGCCCCUGAGCCCAGGGUAGGUGGGUGAGGAGGGGUCAUCCAGGUAACAGCUGACUCAGGAAAGGGCGGGGGACCCUCACCUCCGCGUGUCGCUGACGCGCCUUCCCCAGCCUAACACGCGCGUCUCUGCCGGCGGGCCCCCCCACCUCCCGUCAGCACCGACCCACUCCCCGGUCCCAAAACGCGGACAGCACCCCAGCCCUCGGGGGCCGCUCCGCCGUUGCUCGGAUCAGAGCGAGAAACUUGGAAGCGGCGACGCAACGCCGUCCACCACCAGCAGCCAGAGACAGCGCCUCCCGCCCGGCACAGCCGGGGCUGCUGCGCCGCUGGUCCCCGCGGAGCCGCUGGGAGCAGCGGGCCCUGCGCGCCCCGGCCCUGCCCCGCGCCCGCGCGCCUUACCAUGGCUGCAGCCCGGGCCGGGCCAGCUCCGCAGGGACAGCGUCCGAGCGACCCGCGGCCGGAGCUGCGAGCCGACCUCGAGGGACCGCCGGCCCCCGCCCGCCGCCCAGAGUGCGGACCGGCCGGGGGCGGGGCCGGGGGCGGGGCGAGUCGGCCCUGGGGCGGGGCCUGCCCUCUGAGGCGCGGACGCCUGCAAAGCUGAAGGCGGCCGCGGGCGGCUGGCUGCGGGGAGAGGCGGGCCUUGCAGCCCGUGACCCCCCCUGAUGAGCAGAGGCGCUCAGGACAGCGCAGCACUGCUCACCUGGGUCUUCCUUACUCAGCCCGUAAUAGUAGCCUCUUCAGGCAGCGCAUCACCGUGGGGGCUUGAGAAAAUCCCCCAAGAAAAGGGAAAGGCCAACCUAGCAUCCCUAGGAGAGGUCUUUCGAAGGAGAGGGGUUUGCCCCACGAGUCGGGAGAGACUCCAUUAGUUACCGAAGGUUUUCAGGAAAUGAACCCAACUGAUGUCCAAGUUAACUGAUUGUCCCUACCCCCUCUACACCUCCUAAGGUAGAAUGUCAGACUUUCUCUACCUUUACCCAAGCUAUGAAGAAGAGACAAAAUGUUCCCUUCCUGCAGGACCCUAGAUUAAAGAUUAAAGAGGAUUUGCUGCAUAAAUUAUCCAGGGAUCAUCUGCUGGAAAGGUGGAAGGGAAGAGGCUGAGUGGCCUUUAUGGGGCAGUAGAGUCUUGUCUGGGGCUGAGGGAAGCGGGAAGUGGCAGCCCAGGUGUGAGCCAGUCUAUGCUGGGCAAGCAGGUGAGAUGCUGUGGGGACAGAUGCCUCAGCAGCUUUAGAAGCAUUAGAGGCUCAGAAGGGUCAGCAGCAGCAAGGAAGAAGUAGAUGCUUAGAGGGUGGGGGUUGGUGAGGAUUUUCCGAGCUAAUACAGGGCUGAGCUGGUCAGGCUUCUGUGAAAGUUUCCAGAAGUAUGCCUCUUCCUGACUCCCACAAACUCUCCUCCAGGGCAUGCUGAUUUGCCUGAAUACACUUUGAAUAAAACAGGUCCACAGACAUGGCCCUCUCUAUUGGUAGAACACCCAGAAGCCUGCCUACUCUAUUUCAGUCUGAUCUGUGACCAGUGGUCAUGGUUGGGAUCAAGUUAGAACUUAGCAGAGGGACGGAGGGGGGCCUAGGUAUACAGAUGAGAACACGUUCAGAAAACAUGGGAUGGCUAUUGGAGACGUUAUUAGAUAUUUGGCACUGGUGGACUGAAGGACGGAAGGAGUGCCAUUGCUUAAAGAAAUCAGGGGCAUUCACGGGCUAGCAAGUUGAGGAGGAACCUUCCUAGCUGGGUGACCUUGGGCAACUCACUUUACCUCUCUGGACUUCAGUUCCCACACCAGAAAAUGAGGGGAUUAAACUAGGAUAUCGCCAGCAGCUUGGCUCAGAUAAGAGGGAGCCUCUGAAUGUAUAGAGAGUUUCCUGGAAAAGGCCUGGGGUAGAUGAAGAGAUCUGAAGCUGUACUCAGGAAAACAAAGACAUGAAAGAGUUUCUUUAGAGAGAAACCAAUGGCUAUUGGAAGGCUACAGAAGUAGCAGCAGCUGCUGCCGUCAGACCCGAACAUCAAACUCACUACACAAAGCCCCACUGUUGGGAACUAGCUAUAGGCCACUAACACUCACGUAUGCACUCAUAAGACUGCUUCUUGAGUGCUUCCACUGGCAUUCUGCAUGGCCUGGGCUGGGAGUGCUGGGCCGAGGGGAGAAAACCUAUGUCAAGGAAGACAGGCCCCAUCACAAACAAACCCUUGUUUUCCGCCAAGUGUACUUCCCUCCUCCCCCCAGUCCUGGUUGUAGUCCAAGUGUGGACACAGACACGUCUCAGAAGGCAGCCCAGCUAGCUCAUCCUCAGCUGUGGCUGGAAUCCCAACUCUGCUCUGGCACCAGCUGCCCUGGCCCCCAGCAAGCCCUGUGUGUCCUGAGGCAUGUUGGUGCCAGCUUGUUUUGAGGGAAGUGAGCCCCAAAGAGAGGCCUGGGACUGUGGAACUCAUCUCUACACCAAGACUCUUAGGGUCUUGAUGCUCACCAGUGUCUUUGUAAUCACUACAUCAGCUGCCCAACAUGAGGCAUGUUGGGUGAAGUAAAAGCUAAAGACAGACUUUGAGCCAUUCCAUCUACAUAAAUCUCGCAUACUAACUCUGAAGCACUGUGAGUUUCUGAGAGAACUUGGCCUUGGCUUAGGACCCCAUACCAGCUUUGGCAAUUAGCUCACUGCCUGAAUAUCCCUUCUCCUUCAUGGGCCUCUUUUUCCCCCACUGAGAGAGAACUGGACUCCCCCCAACUCCAGCUCUUGUGUUCUGUGAUGGUGCAGGUAGCGUCUGACACCUGGUCAGAAGCAGGGCCAAAAUAUAGCUGCCCUUGUAUGAGUCACUGACCACUGAGUGCUCCUCCCCAUCUCCAGUUAGCAUGUGGACUGGCCAACCUUGCCUCAGGUACCCCUCAGUCCUUAGAGUCUGACUCUUCCUUGAAAUUCAACAUCCCACCAGGAAAUGAUAUCCUUGACUAGAGUACAAUUUCCCCAUGCACUGCUGGAGUGGGGAUUUCAAGCCAAGGGUCUGGGGAAUGAACACUUUGUUUGGCACAAGGGAUGACUCUUCUGGGAACUCAGAUCAGCACACACCUCCAGUCUGCUAUCAGGAGGUCCCUCUGCUUAGGUCAGGCUAGCAUGGUCUAUGUGGAAAAACUCCUGGCCCCCUCCAUUGGAUCUUUCCUGCCUACCCAUGGGUGAAGGUUGUGUGGCACCAAACUAAAUAAGGAUGCUGUACUUGGGCAAAGUCAAGGUCCAGGUUCAAAAGCCAAGAAUAAAGAGUGAUUAUCACAGGAAAUCAGGAUUUCGGAUCUGCAUGACUAGCAAAGGCCACUUUUGCCUCUCAGUAGCAGAGUUUUCUUAAGUGGCACAAGAACUAAUUGUAUCUCCCUUCCCCCAGAGGUGAUGAGUCACUGAUGAUAUAGUCAGAGAGCUCUGGUAGGGGCAAAGAACUAUUACCGGGUUGUGUCUUUCAAGGAAACCUUAGCCAGCCUGUCCAGAAAGUUCUGUGCAAAGGCAAGAAACCAAAAUACCCUCAACCUCACUCCCACCCCUAAUGUUCCCCAGUGUCUCAUGAUCCUGGAUCAGGCAUGAAAUGUGGGUGGUAAUGUCAGGGAGCACUGUUUCCUGGCACCUGUUGUCUAGCUGUGGUAAGAGGCAGUUCUGGAGCCAGUAGAGUGCCAGAGGCCUGCCAGAGGCCUGCCAGAGGACCUUUCCAACACCUUCUCUGCAGUAGGGCAGGGCACAGGAGCUGAGAGAUGGAAGAGACUUACAUAUGCAUUGGUGUGUGACCCCUUCAAGAGCCCCCACCCUACAUCCCAUCUUCUUAAAAGUUUCCCACGACUAAAAACUGACUCUACUGCCCUUCAAUCUUUGGGCAGUGUGUUAUCAAAGGUCUUCAUUACCUGGAGUUGAAACCUGUGUGUACCUGGACUUUACCCUCCAAGUGCCUCCAUGCUAGAAGCUUUGCUAACUCAUUUCACUGGACUUUGUUUUGUUCUUUGAUGUCCACACUCUUUCAAGUGACCCAUCUAUAGACUUUUCUCUUCCAAACUAACCAUAAGCCCCUCAAGGACAGCGAGUAUGAUCUCUACUCACUUCAAUUCAGUGAACAUGUGAUAUAAUGUCCUCCUGGAUGCCCAGGACUCUGCCCCCAGGAGGUGUCUGAUCAAUAUGAAUUGACUGAAAGGAUUCAUUGAUUAGUUUUCCACUCUGAUUUUGGAGCACAGACAAGCCUUGAGGCUCUGGGCCUCACUGACCCAUCCAUAACUUGCCCUUCAUUCUGGCUGCUUGCCAGCUCAUACUUCAUCUCCCAGCCUUGUAAUUUCCAUGCAAAGACACAAAUGUUACCCUCACUAAAACCUUUCCCUUCAUAUUUUGUGAUAUCUGAAGGUGCUGCUGAAAUAUUGAUAAGUUACUUUCCAGGAAGAUGUGGCUAUGGAAGAAGGGUUUCUACACCACAUAUGAAUCCCUGGGGCAGGGUGCUCCCUAAAAUACUCUCAGUCUUGAGGAGCCAGCUCUGCAAAAUGGGGAGCAAAAGUUCACUUCAUAAGGUUGCCGUGAAGAUUCACUAAGGUAACACACUUAGAAUGGUGCAGGCACUAAAAUGAGUGGUAGCUACUAUCUCAGCUAAUGAGAAAAUUAUCAACACCAAAUCAGCAACUAUCACUGUGACCAUUUCAAAUGCUUUCUCUACAAACAAUUAGGAAUGUGCAUGUGUAAUAGUAUAGAGGGAUGGGAAAAGAGCCCUUGACUAAAGUGACAUUGGAAUGACCAUGCUGCCACCAACUGUAGAGUCAGCUUCUCCAGCUGAACCCCACGCCAUCUCUAGAAAACUAGUCUUGGUUUCAGACUUACUGAGCUGAAUUCCCAAAAACAGCCAUCAUAGAGACUCCUGGAGCUAAAUGACUUUGCCUGUGGUGGGUGUGCCAAGGAAAUGACUUUGGCCCUGCCCUCCCACCUUCAGCGUCAGAGCCUGAGCUUCUCUCAGGAGCUGCCUCACAUUCUGUCCCCUUCCUUCAAGCGCGCACUUGGCCCCCAAGGUGCAGCUGUCUCUGGCCUCUCCCCUCAUGGCAGCUGGGCCAAAGGCAGCUGAGCAGAAGAGGGUAAAGGGACAUGGUCAUUUUGUCACUCAGGAUAACCUUCCUCUGGCUGAGCAGCUGUCAGGGUGGCUUCUGUGUUACAGAUUUUCUUCCUCGCCCAAGUAUGCUUCCUUGCUCUCUGAGACCAAGCUCCCUAAUCUAUCCAGUCCUGCUAUUUCUCCUCUUACUUGAAAACCCCACCAUUUCAAACACCACCAAACCUCUCUGAUAGAAAGAUAGAAUGUUGGAGAUGGGUUCCAAGCAGGGAACCAAGUAACUUCUGGAAAUACACCAGAAAGUCCAAAAUAAAUGUGGCAGGUUCUUCCCUAUGUGGGAUCAUUCUGAGAAGAGUAAAAAACUAAAGGAUUCUGGCCUCAGUUCUACCAUCGACCACAAGGGAGGGGCAUAGGAUUUUCCUGCCCCCAUUUUAUAGUCAGAGGGAGCAAUCUGCUCAGAUCUCACAGUGAAGGCAGGACAUCACCCCCCCUGCCCUGUGCUUCCAGUGGCUCUUGCUGAGGCAUAAUGCACUUUAGCCUGUCCUACGGUCACCAUUUGUCCUAGUUUGCCCAGGACUGGUGGGGGUCCCAGGACACAGGAUGCUAAAACCAGGAACAUCCCAGGCAAACCCUGAGUUGGGUCAACCUAGCCUGUCCCCAGAAUAGCAAUGUGGGUCAGAGGUUACCAGCCUCCCAUCCAGCUCUGGACUUUGCUGCCCAUGGUAGCUGAAAAUGAACAAGGUGCCAUCUGACACGAAAAGAAGCUGGGUAUCAAGGGUCAGGCUGCUAUGAAAAGCCUCCCGAGGUGCCCUGCCCCAUUUUUAGCAGCUCUGCUCCAUUCUUUCAGUUCUCUCUCCUCUCAACUAUAAGCCUUGGUACAAAGCAAGAGAAAAUAAGGGGAGUGGGAAAGAUGGUUCUAAGGUUCCUUUCAGACAGCCCAUAUCCUGGGAUUCUGUUAACAUUCCCAUGAAUCCAGAGACUCCCUGUGUUCCUCCUGGACUCUGGAUUUUUCUCUGUCGAGGAAGUCUGAGCAAAACUUCCCUGAGACUCAAAAGCCAACAGGAGGCUGGCCAUACCAUCCCCCAGGGGCCAAAUGACAGGUCACUCUAAAGACACUGAAGUUUGCCUUAGGUAUCACUGAGAUGGCCUCCCCUGUUUCCUGGCCUGUUUUCCAGAGUUGGUUUCUUGCAUAAUUGAUAGAGAUAGAAGGGAGUAAACCACCUUGUCUGCUGACAGCCUGAGAAGUCAUUUGCAAGGGCAAGUAGGUUAGGUGCUUUGAGGACAAGGUUCUUAGGGCCAAGGCAUCUCCAUCCAUUGGAGCAUUGAAGCCCCUCCCAUCAAGAGCUGCUUUAUUCCAAGGAAUUCCCCAGGACCGUGUGGGAAGACAGCCCCAGCUGACACCAUAGGGCACCCUCAAGACCUUCCUGUUGAGCUUCUGCUAGUCUUGAUACAAAAAAACAAAAUCAUUAGGAAUGAUUCCCUCAUUCCAGCAUAACCUUCUCUGGGGAGAUUCUAGCCCCUAAAUUACCAAUCCAAGGAUGAGAAGCAUCUGUAAUCCCUGCUCCUUAGACAAAAGGGCCUUGAGGAGCCACUUGGGAGGAGACUGACACUUAAGAGAGAGAGAGAGAGAGAGAGAUGGUUGAAUCAGGCUCCAUCCUCAACUAUGGACCCAGAAGGGCCUGUGAAGUUCAACAACAAACAUGCUGCUGUUCACAAGCCAGGAGCUGUGGCUGGCCACCAGAGAAUUCCUGCCAGGAAUGGAAUCUGGAACAGACUCUACAGUCAACCAUUCCCAGAUCGGAGGAACUAGAGGCCUUGGACACUAGCACCAUCGUCUCUAAUGUGGGAAGGUCUGUUGGCCACUCAGCCUGGAGGACAGGCUGGGGAAAGCCUAGCACUCUCAUGGUUUGUGAGGAGUCCCUGGCCCACCUCCAUGACACCGCACUUCCAAAGAGCCAGAGAAGACCAGCAGGCCCAGCUGGUCUCUCCCCAGCUUCUUUUCCCAGCUUCUGGGGAGCAGCUCUGCCGCCGAACAGGGCUGGAGAGCUGCAAUUAUCCAGACAGGAUAAGAGCUAUUUUGGGAAGGAGCCGUUCUGCUGCCAAGGCUUUUGACUUUCUAAACUAAAACAAGAUGCACAAAGAAAGGGGGUGAGGAUGGGGGAGAAAAGGGAAGAACUUUCUCAGUCAAAACCGUCAUAUCCAGAAUGAGGGAAAACACUAACCCCUUCCCAAAGGUAAGAGACUAGCUAUUAAGAUAUCUCUAGCUUUGAGAAGGCGAGUGUAACCUGACCAACCCCCCCCCCAACACACACACAUCCCCUAAUGACUCCUUCUCUCCUAAGUUCCUCCAAGAGCACAUAUUCAGUCUGUUGCAUUUAUUUGGACAUUUGAGCACAAACUAUUUCAUAUUGUUGUUUAAAUGUUUCCUGUCCAUGUCUUAUCUCCCCAACCAGAUGGUAAGUUUCUCAUGGCCAAAGAAUGUGUGUGCUCUGAGGCUUCAAUGCUCUCUCCAGUAGUGCCUAGCAGAGUGCUAGGUAUCUGAAUGAAGUUGUUUAUGAAAGGAAGGGAGAGAGGGAGGAAGGAAGGAAGAGCAAAAGGAAAGAGGGAGAGAAGGAUUUACUGUCUCUCGUGGAGGUGAUCUCUAAAUGUAGUUGUUCCCACCCACAGUUGAGCUUAGGGCAUGGGGCUGAAUAAGAAGCCAUGGCAGAGGGAGUGGCAGCCACAUUUUUGGCACCUCCCCUUCAGCUGUUCCAUCAUCUGAGCUCAGGCUGUCCUGCUCCACCUCCUUUAUUUGUUUUCUAUCUGUAAUUAACUGUCCAUUCUGGGCUAACCUAUGGAUGGGACCCAUUAAAAGCCAUGCUAGGCUCUAGGUAAGGGAGAGAUAGGGUAAGAGAAAGAAUGGAGGCAGGAAGAGCUCAGACUAUCUUAUCAAACAUGGGCCAAGAAGAACUAAAGUAGUUAUAGGAAUAAUGCACUCUGAAAUCAGGACACUCUUUGCCAAAUUCAGGACACAGGGCUGCUGAGAGCAGAGUUUACCUUGUGCCUUUCCAAGUUGAGGACUCAAAUAGUGUGUAACCCAGAAAAGUGUUCCCUUUCUGGAUUGCCCUAGGCUGAAGAGGGGAGAGCCAAGUGGGGGCUGAUCCAAUGUAUGGUUUCCCAGACAGCUUUUAGAUCACCUUUGUGCAAAUCUCCUCCUGGGGAGAUGCAGCUCCCCCCACCCCGCCAAGUGCACAGCAUGGCAAGUAGAACACAGGCUAGAUUUCAGCCCCCACUUGCCCUCUCUGCUAGGUACCCUUGUGCAAUGAACAACUUGCCCAACUAUAGGGAGAGUUCUGUCUGUCUCCCUCCAUUCCUGCUUCCAUAAGAGGUUAAGAGAGGGACUUGGAUAAGGGGGAGCAUGGGAAGACUGGAAGUAACUUCCCAGGGGUGUUCUUACCUCCUCAUCUGUCAUAAUGGAGAAGUAGAAGUCAGGCAUUCCCAAGGGACGGCAAAUGGAAUUCAGAGAGUACCAACAGGAAGGGAAAAAGAGAAUUUUACUAAAGAUCUCCAGUGGACUUUGGCAUAACCUGGCCCAACAUCCUUUCUAGUGAAAGUGGCCCAAAUAGCAACAGCUAGUAAAUUUACAGCAGUAAAUACUGAGGACUCACUGUUACCAGGCACCAUGCUAAGUGCUGUACAUGUAGUAGCUUGGUUAGUCCUCUUAUAAACCCUAGAGGUAGCCAUUGUUCCCACUGACAGUUGGGGCAACUAACAAUUGGAAAAAUAAAAUAACUUACCCAAGGUCACAGUGAAAAAAUACUAGACACAGGACUCAAACCUAAUACUAUAACUCCAGAGUCCACACUACUAAACUUCAGCUUUAUAGAGCUUUGCUCUCUCUGCGGGGCAGGGACAACUUUCUCUGCUCUUUGCUGCCAAUUUGAUAGCUCAUGCGGUUGGGACUGGAUUGCAUUCACAGGACUCUCUCCUCCCUAGGGACUUCCUCAUCCAGAGCCCUGGCCUCCCUCAUGCUCACAGGAAUAAAGCAUAUCUUGGGCCACAACAUUCAAGGCAGAAACUCUUUGUUACUAAUAUUCACUAUACGAGGGUUGGUCCCCUCUCUCUCCACCAGAGAGGUCAAGAGUACAAAGGGGGGGAGGGUGUCACGAGGCCCUGGGGAUACUUAAGGAUUCUAGAGUUGGCUACAGGACCCACUGAUGGCCUCAAGACAGAGGCCUGGAAAUCCCUGGAGAUUGUGCCUGGGAAGCAGCCAAUAAAUACCUCCCAAGUCUGGGCAAGGGGGCUUGAGGAGAGUUCUGACACAAGACCCAAGAGGAGACCCAUCAACCUACAUUAGGGCGGGGUAAACCCUGAGUAAAACUGUGAAACAGGUAGUUUGUCUUGGUGACUUUUUUUGGGGGGGGGAGGAGGGGGUUAAAAAUCACGAGAGGUAAGACUAGCUAAACUGAAAGGCAUAGGCUUAAAUUGUUCUCCAUUUCAGAAAUGACUACUUCCCAUUGAAAGGAGGCUCUCGAAAAUGAAAAAGGUUCCAAGUCCCAAAGGAAUGACUCUAAUAGUGGAAUUAUAGUCAACCCUCUAGUAUGUGUGGUGCUAAUAGACCUAGCUCUGUAGAUACAUAGCGGUCAUCCUUCCACCUGUCCUCCUGCCUCCCAAACUCCAACAACAGACCCACAGGAGGGAAAAUCACAGACCUUUUAGCCACCAGAUGACACGAUUAUACAUUUCCUCAGACACAUCUGAAAGUAACAGAAAUUGUUGCUCUUUUUCACUGUGGGAUGUAUACCUCUCUCCCCACUACUUAACAUUUCCCUUUUAGGCUCUACAUUUCUCCAUCCAAAGGUGCCCUCAGCCCUUGAUCCUCUCCAAGAAGCCCCUGCAGUCUAGGACUAAAUCCUGCCCCACCCUUUUCUCCACCCUCUGUGCCACUGUUAAUGCCUUUCCCCUCUUGGAAGUCUAGGUCCUAGCGUAUCUGUGCUUCACCUUCUCCACUUUGUUGUCAGAAUAUUUACCUGAGAACCUUAUUUUCUUUACUAGCCCUAACCAGCCCUAGUCCCAACUCAGUUCUUUAUCUCCAUUCUUGAGAAGCGCUUCCUACCCUGAAAACCACUCUCUAUUACUUUCCAUUGAAAGGUUAAGCAGCGUUGCCUGGAAGAAUCAAUGCCUGAUGCCUGCCCAAGCAUCGUUAUUGAUGUCAUUAGCUUGGAGCUCAAAAAAGCUGGCAGGGAAGGAAUGGGGCAACAGGCUCAAGGUUUAGCUUGAGCACUGGCAGGAGAGCAGCUCUGAGGCCCAGAAUGAAGAAGGGGACUGACUUUCCUACCCACCCCAAUGUCGCACCUCACUAAAUUGGGGCUGCACCUGGGCAGUCUGCUUCUUCACAUACCCAAGAAGAAAGCACUAAACCUUUGAAUGGGUUGUUUGGAGGUCUGCUUGAGGGCUUGUGGCAUUUCCCUCAAUGGUGCCUGGUUUGGAGACUCCUUUGGUGGUGAUAGUGGUGGUGGUGUUGCUGAUGGUGGUGGUGAUGGACUUGCCUUCUCUCUCUGGAACAUCAUUUCCUCACAGAAAGGACUUGAGUCCAUUUCAAAAAAGGACAAUAAAGGGUCUGGGGGAAGAGGGGACUUAGACUCAAAAUCAGGUGUUGUCGGCCGGCUUUGGGAUGUUUCAACUUCAGGAUUGAGUAAGGCCCACCAUGAACAGUCAGGUCCAUACCUAGGUAAGGCCCGAGGGGGUAAGGGCCGAGGGGUCAGUUCCAGUUCUGCAUGGACCGAGGGCUUUGGGGAGGGUUCUGGAUACCUGAGUGCAGGUCCUGGGGACAUGCAGACACUUUCUGAGGGUCUUUGGGUGUGCUGCUUAUAGCUGGGUUCUGGAGUGACAAACAUAGAUUUGUGGGGGUUCUCAGACACUGCUCGAGAUGUCACACGGGGAGCUGAGUAUAACUGUUCUGCUGAAGAGAUGGUGACCCUGCGGCUGACCUCGCCAUCUCCUCUAGUUGAGGACCUCAGGUUGGACUCUACUUCUGAUGAUAUUAAGUUCUUUGGGGAGGUCUUGGUGUCAGUGUAGACAGACUGCUUAGGGAUAGUCUCAGGAUCUGAACGCCUAGAAACUCGGUGUCCACCACUCAAAUCCUUUAGUAUAGAGAGUCUGAGGGAUGAUUCCAAGUUCAUAUUCCUAUGCAAAGUCUUGGGUUCUGUGUAAAUUGGGCUGGGAUGACUCAUUUCACACUCUUGGCCAGGGAUCUUUCUUUGGGCUGUCCGAGAGUCUGCACUGACUCGGCCAUUGCUAUGUUCUGGGCUAGAAGGUCUUCUUGGAGAUCUGAUCUCAGUAGCAGUCAAACCCUUUUGGAUGGGUUCAGUUUGGACUGCUUCAUCCUUUGGGUAAACCAAAGUCCUACGGGGAACUCUGACCCCUUGUGGGUACUGGACCUUGGAGGGUGGGUCUUCUUGCAAGAUUUGUAAGUUAUCCUUCUGGUCUACAAAACUCAACCGGCGAGAGGAUUUGGCAUCAGGGGUUAAUGAGUAGCGAUUACUGAUGUCACGCCCUGGCUUGCUCUCACCCCCUCUUCGUGCUGAUUCCUCUCUGGAUGGGCUAACAUUCCGUUGCGUCUGGACAGCAUGGGAAGCUGAUGUUUGAGUUUGCUGGAUCUUUCGAUGAAUAGAGGGAUGGCGGUAUGAUUCUGAUUUUGAUUGGGCCUCGCUUCCUCGAGGGAUGGGUGUUCCACUGGGCCCUGACUGGGGGGAGAUAGAACGUGGAUAGUCUGAUGCUGAAUGGAAAGAGGGGAGAUGCCCAGCUUCUGAUCUUCGAUGGGGCGAAGGACUUCGGGGGGCUGCAGCGGUUCGUGAGCUCGAGGCAAUCAUAUAUCCUUGUCCCCGCUGAGGGGUUGUGUUAGUAACCUCAGACCCUUUCUGUGCUGAAACUGCUACCUUGGACCCAGUUUUAUUUGUCUUGACCAUCCGAUAGACUGAGCUCCUCUGGGUAGAUCCCAUAUUUUACUGGCUGGCUUGUAUUGAGGAUCCUAAUGAAGUCUGAAUGUUUACCCUUGGCUUUAAAAGCUGCUGCUCUUGUACUCCCACAAA
rnacentral:lncRNA from 1 species